CGGAAGUGACGCACGGUGAUGCCAGGAUUGCUGCGCAGUGUUCGUAGCAAACGUUAGAGCGCAGGACAACAUCAGGUGCCGAUUAAAAAAAAAAAGAAGAGAAAAGAAGCACUAUUUCUUUUAUACAUACUGCAGGGAGGAGUUACAAUCGACACGAAAACACAAGGAGCCGAGCCAAACGAUCAACACCAUGAACCCUGUCUACAGCCCUGCACCAACAGGGGUUCCUUAUGCCAACCCGAAAGGAAUAGGAUACCCAGCUGGAUUUCCAGUUGGAUAUGCAACGGCUGCCCCUGCAUACUCCCCCAGUGUGUAUUCUGGAGCAAACCCAGCGUUUCCCACAGGUUAUGCCCAAGGGACACCCUUCAAAAUGUCCUGCUCUCCAACAACAGGUGCUGUACCCCCCUACUCCUCCUCCCCUAACCCAUACCCUGCUGCUGUGUACCCCGUGAGGAGCUCUUAUCCGCAGCAGAAUCCUUAUGCUCAGCAGCAAGGCACUUAUUACACACAGCCCCUGUACGCUGCACCGCCUCAUGUUAUUCAUCACACUACAGUGGUACAGCCCAAUGGUAUGCCAGCAGCUAUAUAUGCUCCCCCCAUCCCUCCUCCACGCCCUAAUGGAGUCGCCAUGGGAAUGGUAGCAGGCACUACUAUGGCAAUGUCAGCGGGGACUUUAUUAACGACUCAUUCCCCAACUCCAGUAGCUCCCCACCCCGUCACAGUGCCCACAUAUCGAGCCCCUGGCACACCUACCUACAGCUAUGUGCCCCCUCAGUGGUGAACAGAUAGCACUGUUAGAAGAUGAUAGAUAUGCAUUUGCACAGUCCAGUAUUUUACAGCUACAGUUGGGGCUGAUGCCACAUGUGUUCCCAGCCAGUCGUUCUUCCUUCUAAGCAUAAUGUGAAUCUGAAUCCCGUUGGACGAAGAAAGAAAAUUUUGGAGCGGGAAUGAGAACCUUUCCGUUUCCGAUCACAUUUGUUAGCAUUACUCAUUCUCCAGCAUAUCUCACAUCAGAAGACUAGUUCUUCAUGCAGACUUGUGUUUUGUGGACUGUCUUGCAGUUUUUAUAACAUUUAACUCUUGAAGUGGUUAAAAAAAAAGAGAAGGGAAAUGGAAUUAGUUCGUAUUUGGAAUCCAUAUUGAAGUGAGUGCAUGUGCGUAUUGAAAAUAAUAAUGCUAGCUGAAUCUACCUGCCAUGAUUGAUGCAGAACCAUCAAAGGGUUAGAAGAAGCAACAUCCAAAGGGUUAGGGUGAAUGCAGCAACUUCACAUCUCUAAUGCAGUGUCUUUUAUUGUUAUUACAUAGAAAAUAUAAAUUAUGUUUUCCAUUAAAAAAAAAUACAGCAACAGUGUUGUAAAAAUUCUUAUAUUGCUUUGGUUUUAACAUGGGUUUUAAUUUUUGUAAGUGUGACAUGUCUGUAUCUGGGUAACACACAUUACUCUUCUGCCACUUUGUAUGGGAAAUUUUUAUUUUUUUUUAUUAUAAUUUUUGUGCCUCAAACACAGAUUUCCAUUUCUGUGAUGAUGGUUUAUCAUUCCUCAUGCUCUUGCUACAGAAGAUUAUUGCACAUCUUUGCCUGUGUGGCAUCAGAUUGGUUGGCUGAGCUGCCAAACAUACCAGUGUAUUGGUGCUGAGAGCAUGCCUACUUAUUUCUGUGCUUUUAGGGUUUGCAUUUGCUAAGGAAUUGACAGAAGGAGUGAUGGUGGAAUCACUGCUUAUCUAGCACAUUUUCAGGUGUAGUAAAAUGAAUUUAUGUGGUCAGUUUAUAACCCAAACAUAUUUGAUAACACUACUGAGGACAUAAGUUAUUGGAGCCAUUUGGUUAAGGAACCCCAAAACACUUGCAUUGCUUGUUACCUCAAGGUUGCACCAUUACUGACUGAAUUUCAUUGUCUUUUUACUUAUUCAUAUUGCCUAUGUCGCCUUGGUUAAAGAAUGUUUUGUAAUGUUUGUGUUUUUGUUUUGUACUUUCAAGAAAGACCAAAAAUAAAUACAAUAAUGAACAUUGCCAUUGUCUUGAGUGCUAAGAGUUAAAAAGCCAAAUUUGGGGAAGGGGGGAGACCCCUACACCAGACCAUAAGAGCAGCAAAAAAGCAUAGGCCCCUGAGCAAGUGGAGCAUCUACACCAGCGUUUCUCAACCUUUUUUCAGUCACGGCACCCUUCAGAAGUAUGCAAAUUCUCAAGGCACCCCCAUAUAAAAUAUACGCAGUCAGGCUGACCAUACGCUGAACCCGGCAGUGACGUUGUGACAUGGGAAAGGGGGCCGUGAGACAAAUUUUGAUGAUGCAUGAGGCGGCGAUGAUCUGCAUUAGUAUAACUAUUGUUUUUUGGAAUUUUAAUUCAUUUUAUUUAUUUCAAUGUUAGAAUAUAUAAUUUUUUUGACGGCACCCCUACCGCAGCCAGACGGCACCCCAGUUGAGAAAGGCUGAUCUACACCACCACUUUUAUCAGAAGAGUGAAUUUCUAAAAAUAAUCAUUUAAGGCACAAACUACCACUAACCAGUCUCACUGUAAUAAUAACAUUGCCAAUAAAAUAUUUUUAUGGCUGUUCUACUGGAAAUUAUAUUUUAUCUUUAAAGCCUAGAUAUAAACUGGCUUUCAAACAAAAGCAGAAAAAUACACAAUGCUGACUGGUGAAUCCUUUUUCAAACAUCAGUUUAGGGAAUAACUUCACAAAGCAUGCACUGUAAAAGACUGGAGUUAAUUUACAGCAGGAUUUCAACAGUAUUAACCUAGUUUAUGAAUACAGCAAUUUACUGUUAAUACAAAAGACGAUCUGUUAAAUCACACUCCAUUGACCAUUUUUUUUUUAAUAGAACUAAAAUGUAUUCCUAAAAAACAGCACUUUACUGAUAAUUACCUGUCUAAAGUUCUUCCCGCACCAUAUGGUGCAUUAGGCAGUGCCAAUCUCCAUUUCUGUAGCCUUCAGCCUCUCGCCUAUAUUAUAUAGCUAGGGUUCCAGUGGGGGGCUAGUCCUCUGGUAACCACGAGAGUUUGACUCCCCACUCAUAUCUGUAUUGCAGCGUGCCUUGCCAGACAGCAGUCAGUACCAUUUUUAUGAUGGUCUUUGGUAUGACCCGACCACAAGUAGAACUCGCAAUUUCCCAGCCAAGAGGCAGACACACUAAUCACUAGGCCAAUUCACGGUUACCUGUCUAAAGUAUCUUAAUCAUGCAAUUAUUUAUUAUUAUUAUUAUUAUUAUUUUUUUUUUAAAGAGCAAAGCUGAACUGCAUGUGUGAAGCUGGACCUGUUUUCUUCAUCCAUUCCCAACCAUCUUACUAAUGAAGUGAUGGGUAGCAAUUUUAUUUAAUCCAUAAGUUAUGUCAAAUUCUAUCCGUGAUGUUUCCAGUUUGUUUUAUCAUUAAAUAUGUGCACGUCAACCUGUGAAGGGUUUAGCAGCUAAUGUUAGCUGGAAUUUCAUAGACUAUUGAUCAGACAACACAGGGAGCUCAUUUUAAUUUCUACAUGGCUAUGUUCACUUGUGGACAUGUAUGAAUUUAUGAAGCAUAAUCGUCCUUUGACAGCCUAUGAAUAUUUCAUCAGCUUAAGUAAUAUAAAAGACUUCAGUGGACGCUGGUUAGUGGUGGUAAUUCAGCAGUGCAGAUUGAAAACUUAAGGCAAGUUUAUUUUCAAGAUAAUAAUUGAAUCAGAAUUGAAGUGCUGAAGAUUUGCUUGGCUGUAACUUACUACUACUUUAAAUCUGUGCAAGUGUCUUUUUCCCCAAAAAAGUUGUAUAAAAUAGAUUGGCAUGAGUCUGCUUGAUGACAUAUUGAUAGUGCAGUCAAGGCCAUAAUACAGAACCUGUGGGUGUAUGAACUAUUGAGUGUUUUGUGCAUCCUUUCAAUCAGAUGGUUCAGUUGUAUUUAGGUUGAUGUUUGACAUGUUUCUCUGACAUUACAGAUGCACCAGGCACUGAAGCACGUCAGGUGAACUGGUGAAUGAAUCUGCUGUGUUUCAGUGACGGGUUACUGUUUAUUGAACCAGAACAGUCAAGUUUGCUUGGCUUGUAACAAUGUUUUCUUGUCAGAACAUUUGCAACUUUAUUUUAAAAUAAAAAGUAAAGUGCAAUAA